GGUUGCUUCAAACACUAAAGAAAUGAUUGAUACAUUUGAAAUGAAGACGAUCGCGGACAGCCAGACGGAAAUCGGUAGGAAAUCGGAAAUAAGUUCUGUUUCUCGAUCCUCGCUCGCAGCAAGUACAACAAAAUGUUUAUGAAGAACGCAAAUUAUGCAAAUGAAUGCAUUCGUGAUAUGCGGUACAUGAAGUUGAGAUUAUGGUUGUUGUAUGAGAAUUUCUGUGUUUCAGUUCUAUAGUCUUUCGGAGGAUGACAGGUUACAGGUGAAAAUUAAAAGAAAUGCAGAAGUAAAUAAGAUUUGGCUUAUUACAUUACAACUUACUUUGGUUAAUGUGAGACGUUUUACAGCCCAUCUAAUCCGAUUAAAUAUUUGCGUAGACGAAAAUGUUUGAGGUUUAAGUAUUUAUGACAAACAGUUUAUUUUUAUUUAUAGAUCAACAGCAUGUAUUUGUAAGUACUUCACAAUCAGCUACGUGAACUAUUACUUAAUUCCCAAUGAGAAAA